CACAUGUGACGAGUUUGAUCAUGCUCAGAACGACGCUGGCGGCAUGCCUAACACAUGCAAGUCGAACGAAGCCUUCGGGCUUAGUGGCGCACGGGUGCGUAACGCGUGGGAAUCUGCCCUGGGGUGCGGAAUAACUCGGAGAAAUCCGUGCUAAUACCGCAUAAUGUCUUCGGACCAAAGAUUUAUUGCCCUGGGAUGAGCCCGCGUAGGAUUAGCUAGUUGGUGAGGUAAAGGCUCACCAAGGCGACGAUCCUUAGCUGGUCUGAGAGGAUGAUCAGCCACACUGGGACUGAGACACGGCCCAGACUCCUACGGGAGGCAGCAGUGGGGAAUAUUGGACAAUGGGCGAAAGCCUGAUCCCAGCAAUGCCGCGUGAGUGAUGAAGGCCUUAGGGUUGUAAAGCUCUUUUACCCGGGAUGAUAAUGACAGUACCGGGAGAAUAAGCUCCGGCUAACUCCGUG
rnacentral:rRNA from 1 species